rnacentral:lncRNA from 1 species
CCCGAGAAAAAAAAACCCGCUAAUACUACUAGGAAUAUGUUUAACUUCCUGCUAAUCCUGUUAAGUUCCUGCUAAUACGGCUAAUCCUGUUCCAUCUCAAACCAUGUACAAUCAAUCAGCUUCAGCUACAGUUAUGGUCGUAAAAGAUUAAGAAAAAUCUUAUGGGUGCAAUUAUUCCACUGACACCUGCGAAAAAUACCAAAAGAACUGACCAUCGCUGU